UAGAGUGACCAACCUUCCUGGUUUGCCUGGGACUGAAGGGUUUCCCAGGAUGCAGGAUGUUCAUUGCUAAACCAGGAGUG
ensembl:miRNA